GAUGAACGCUGGCGGCGUGCCUAAUACAUGCAAGUCGAGCGAACAGACGAGGAGCUUGCUCCUCUGACGUUAGCGGCGGACGGGUGAGUAACACGUGGAUAACCUACCUAUAAGACUGGGAUAACUUCGGGAAACCGGAGCUAAUACCGGAUAAUAUAUUGAACCGCAUGGUUCAAUAGUGAAAGACGGUUUUGCUGUCACUUAUAGAUGGAUCCGCGCCGCAUUAGCUAGUUGGUAAGGUAACGGCUUACCAAGGCAACGAUGCGUAGCCGACCUGAGAGGGUGAUCGGCCACACUGGAACUGAGACACGGUCCAGACUCUUACGGGAGGCAGCAGUAGGGAAUCUUCCGCAAUGGGCGAAAGCCUGACGGAGCAACGCCGCGUGAGUGAUGAAGGUCUUCGGAUCGUAAAACUCUGCUAUUAGGGAAGAACAAAUGUGUAAGUAACUAUGCACGUCUUGACGGUACCUAAUCAGAAAGCCACGGCUAACUACGUG
rnacentral:rRNA from 1 species